rnacentral:rRNA from 1 species
GACAGAGGUGCCAAGCGUUAGGCGGAAUCACUGGGCUUAAAGCGUGUGUAGGCGGAUUGGUAAGUACCUUGUGAAAUCCCACAGCUCAACUGUGGAACUGCUUGGUAUACUGCCUGUCUUGAGCUACUUAGGGGCAACCGGAACAAAUGGUGGAGCGGUGAAAUGCGUAGAUAUCAGGAAGAACACCCGUGGCUAAGGCGGCUCUCUAGUACGGUACUGACGCUGAGACGCGAAAGCGUGGGGAGCGAACAGG